rnacentral:rRNA from 1 species
AGGACGAACGCUGGCGGCGUGCCUAACACAUGCAAGUGGAGCGACGAACCAGGCUUCGGCCUGGGGCAGAGCCGCGAACGGGUGAGUAACACGUGGGUAACCUGCCCUGAUGAUUGGGACAACCCGAGGAAACUCGGGCUAAUACCGAAUGUGCCCUCCGGCCUCAAGGCCGCUGGGGAAAGGAAGCUUCGGCCUCCGCAUCGGGAUGGGCCCGCGGCCCAUUAGCUUGUUGGUGAGGUAACGGCUCACCAAGGCAACGAUGGGUAGCUGGUCUGAGAGGACGAUCAGCCACACUGGGACUGAGACACGGCCCAGACUCCUACGGGAGGCAGCAGUGGGGAAUCUUGCGCAAUGCGCGAAAGCGUGACGCAGCAACGCCGCGUGGGGGAAGACGGCCUUCGGGUUGUAAACCCCUUUCAGUUGGGACGAAGCUCCGCCGGUGAAUAGCCGGCUGGAGUGACGGUACCUUCAGAAGAAGCCCGGCUAACUACGUGCCAGCAGCCG